rnacentral:rRNA from 1 species
GUGGGGAAUAUUGGACAAUGGGCGAAAGCCUGAUCCAGCCAUGCCGCGUGAGUGAAGAAGGUCUUCGGAUUGUAAAGCACUUUAAGUUGGGAGGAAGGGCAGUAAGUUAAUACCUUGCUGUUUUGACGUUACCGACAGAAUAAGCACCGGCUAACUUCGUGCCAGCAGCCGCGGUAAUACGAAGGGUGCAAGCGUUAAUCGGAAUUACUGGGCGUAAAGCGCGCGUAGGUGGUUUUGUAAGUUGGAGGUGAAAUCCCCGGGCUCAACCUGGGAACUGCCUCCAAAACUGCAUGACUAGAGUACGGUAGAGGGUAGUGGAAUUUCCUGUGUAGCGGUGAAAUGCGUAGAUAUAGGAAGGAACACCAGUGGCGAAGGCGACUACCUGGACUGAUACUGACACUGAGGUGCGAAAGCGUGGGGAGCAAACAGGAUUAGAUACCCUAGUAGUCC